AUUGAACGCUGGCGGCAGGCCUAACACAUGCAAGUCGAACGAGUGGCGGACGGGUUAGUAAUGUAUGGGAAACUGCCCGAUGGAGGGGGGUAGCUAAUGGAAACUGUUGCUGCUACCGCAUUGCAUCGGAUGUGACCAGAUGGGAUUAGCUAGUGGGUGGGGUAACGGACCACCUAGGCGACGAUCCCUAGCUGGACUGAGAGGAUGAACAGCCACACUGGAACUGAGACACGGUCCAGACUCCUACGGGAGGCAGCAGUGGGGAAUAUUGGACAAUGGGCGAAAGCCUGAUGCAGCCAUGCCGCGUGUAUGAUGAAGGCCUUCGGGUUGUAAAGUACUUUCAGCGAGGAGGCGUUACUCGCAGAAGAAGCACCGGCUAACUCCGUGCCAGCAGCCGCGGUAAUUC
rnacentral:rRNA from 1 species